UAUUGUUACAAAUUAUUUGUUAUGUUAGACAUUAUUCGUAACCAAAUUGAAAAAUCACUGCGACGCGCAACACUGCACAUAAUCAUUGAAAUACAGUUGCUUUCGAGGCAACCCUAAGCACCACGAUACCACACGACAGCUCUCACGCUCUCGCGCUCUGAAAUCACUCUCCACGGCGAGGGCAUACACGAGCUGGUAUGCUACCGAUCAUUCGCUUUCUGCUGGCUUCACUAGUGGACGUUAAGACGUGCUCAACCAGGAAUAGUGGGUAUACACCGCGUGGAAAGGUCGAAUAUUACCACAGACCAAAUCGAUAGGCGUGCCGAACAACGAUUUUGUUCAACCAAGUCAUCGAGGCGCGAUCGCAGGGAAACCUGUGUAAGACCAACCACUAUUCCAGAAGAUCCCAUUCACACGCACAUGGCGUCCCACUAAUCGCUUCCUGGGCUCGUUACAAACCAACGAAAUCGCUCGUCGUUCACUGAAGCCAGCAAGAGCGGACACCAUUCCAGCUUGGACAGCAAAGCGAUCCGGCAAACGGUGCAAGGAAGGAAGAAACCGAAAAGGCUCUCCUCGGAGGUAAAUUCCAGCAUAAAUUCCAAUUGGAAUGUAUUUCUAAUUCCCGCUUUGUCAAACAGGGCCUUUUGAUCAGAGCCGUCAAGCCUGAUCACUCCACCACAGCACCGUAGCUUCAGCCGCGAACAGCAGAGAGAGUGAGAGCAAAAGAGGCACGCCAACACGACCUGCAUCGCCAGCAGCACGGCAGUGCUCGAGACACACGCACACCAGCGAUCCCGCACUUGCAUCCAAGCCGCGAGCCGGCGUUCACUCGAGCUGCAAGGCGGCAGCCGAGCCGAGGAGGGAGAAUGUGAAUGAAGUGACCGGGGUUGAAGAAGUGUGCGGUAGUGUGUGUGAAACGAACUGGUGUGUACCUGUGGAUCAACAAGCGCUGGUAGUGUUGGUAGCUGCACUUCACGACACCAAUUGAGUCUAGUUGCAGUUAGUGGUAGUGUGCAUGCGCAGUAGAUCGAGCUCGAAUAGUGAGCGCUCAAAGCGAGCGCGUUCUGAACAGCAGUAAAGAAGAAGAACGAAGAUAUCAUCGCAUUGAU